rnacentral:rRNA from 1 species
UACCGGCAGCCCAAGUGAUGGCCGAUUUUAUUGGGCCUAAAGCGUCCGUAGCUGGCCGCACAAGUCCAUCGGAAAAUCCACCCGCUCAACGGGUGGGCGUCCGGUGGAAACUGUGUGGCUUGGGACCGGAAGGCGCGACGGGUACGUCCGGGGUAGGAGUGAAAUCCCGUAAUCCUGGACGGACCGCCGAUGGCGAAAGCACGUCGCGAGGACGGAUCCGACAGUGAGGGACGAAAGCUAGGGUCUCGAACCGG